UAGAUUUGACAAAAGAAAAAGCGAAAUUUUAAUUCCUAUUUUAGUAUACAAGUUGAUAAUUAAUAGUAAAAAGGAUGUGGAGAAACAAUCUUUUAUUUAUUUUUUUGUCCAUUUUUUAUGAAACAAAGAAGAUAUUUGAUAACUUUUAUUUGAAGUUUUGCUUUGGGUUUUUUGAUUCUAAGAAGAAGACUCAAUUUGGUUAGAUUGUUCACUUGGGAUUUCUAUACACUUUUGAAUUUAACGAAAGAAGAAAAGAUCCAAUUCACUUUUUCAAUAUCUACAUAGAUUAGAUUGUUUUAAAAGAUCUAGAUUUGACAAAAGGGAUAGUUUGUAUAUUCUCUCAUUCCUCACUUUUUGUUCUAAUAAGCUAAGUCAAAUAUCUAUUUGCUUUUAAAAUAGAUAAGAGAACUUGCGAUGGAUUUUUGGAGAAAAACAGAUUUAGCAAAUCAAUAGUUUGGACUACAUCGAGAUGGCUCUUCACGGUAUUGUUGGUAACGUAGAAGCGGCAUGAACCAACACGCAACAAGUAGUUGAGACUGAACACUUAAUGAAAGCUCCUUUGAAGCAUAAGGCUGGGUUGGCUCGAAGGAUAUUCACAAAGAUUGGAUUGGACAACACAUUAGUUUUGCAAGAAGCAAAUAAUUUUAUAUCUCGCCAACCAAAGGUAUGAGAAAUGAAGACUGAUUGUGAAUUCUGAGUAGUUCAUGAAAUAGAGCAUCAAAUCUUUUUCCUUGAAGGUUGUGUGGCUCAAUAUUAGGGUCACAUCUUAAUUCCUCCUGCAGAAUACAAAGAAGUACAAGAAGGAAAUGUGGGAUUUCUUUGUAUCUGUGGAGCAUAUAUUGUUAGUUUCUUUUUCAGACAAAAGAUUUAGUCAAAAGUUAUUUAGGAAUCUCCAACUUACAGAGAAGGCUUUGAUGGAUGCUUUCAAUGUUGUUCGGUGAAUCAGAGAUUAACUGAUCCGAGUAUGUAUCUCUCUCUCUAUAUAUAUCCUUAAGUUUUGUAGCCAUGUUUCUUCUGAAAAUAGCUGGGAUAUUCAAGUUGAUGUUGACAAAUGAGCUAAGAUGCUUUUGGCUAUGUCUAGAUUAUGUUUUGCUUCAUCUCCUGCUUACUGUCCUAAUCUAUUUAUGUUGUCCGGACUAGUCCAAUUUAGUAAUUAUUCAUUGCACAUGUACGAUGAAGUAUAGGAUAGGUGGCUAAGUGUUGAUGCUUCAUGCUUGAGGUCUUCUGGUUGCUGUUGUCUCACAUAAAAAAUUGACAAAAUAGGUGAGUUUUACAAGGUGAUGGUGUUUUUAACAAUAGCUAUCCAUUGCAAGUCCAGUUUAUUGUAGCUCUUCCCAUGGGCACUCCUAACCUAUAGUUUUGCCUGAAAAAACUCCUUCAACAUCUAAUAUUUCUAUUCCUAAUAUGUUUUUCAAUUACGUGCUUAUCUUUGAGACAUUACAUGACUAUUUUUUGGAAUAGGUAUAAUUUGGCUUCUCAACGAGCACUCUAACUGGUUCAUCAGACCAAGUACAAACUGAUGAUACUACGUUUUUUGGUGCUGGAAUCAAUCCACUGUGAUACCUGUGAAUUUAUUAGAUCUCAUAACUUAGUUUAAGAAAAAAUUCUCCCUGCUUCUUAAUAAAGUUGGCAGAUGAAAAGUCCAGUUACAUUUUCAACUGCAGACUCUAGCUUUCUGAUUUCUUCAUUUGCUUCUAUAUUUGAUUAAACCACCUAUCUGAACUAUCUAACAAGUUUCCCAAAUAUUACUUUAUUCAAUGUUAACUAUACAAUGUUAUCUAUACUUGAUCGAUAACUUAAAUCUCUCUCUCUACUUUAUGCAACAGGUCUCGGCCUGUGAUUACAUAUCUCAACCUGAGGAUGCAUCAGAUGUUGUUAUCUAUGUAAAUAAGAUUUAAUAAAAUAUACAAAUGAUUUUGUUCAACUCAACUCCUUAGAAAAUACUAUUAAGUAUCAAGUAAAUAAUAUAUUAUGUAUAUUUAUGUUUCACGA